GAGCUCGCGGCCUAUCAGCUAGUUGGUAGGGUAACGGCUUACCAAGGCGACGAUGUCUAGGGGCUCUGAGAGGAGAAUCCCCCACACUGGUACUGAGACACGGACCAGACUCCUACGGGAGGCAGCAGUAAGGAAUAUUGGUCAAUGGGCGGAAGCCUGAACCAGCCAUGCCGCGUGCAGGAUGACUGCCCUAUGGGUUGUAAACUGCUUUUGUCCAGGAAUAAACCUAAAUACGUGUAUUUAGCUGAAUGUACUGGAAGAAUAAGGAUCGGCUAACUCCGUGCCAGCAGCCGCGGUAAUACGGAGGAUCCGAGCGUUAUCCGGAUUUAUUGGGUUUAAAGGGUGCGUAGGCGGCCUAUUAAGUCAGGGGUGAAAUACGGUGGCUCAACCAUCGCAGUGCCUUUGAUACUGAUGGGCUUGAAUCCAUUUGAAGUGGGCGGAAUAAGACAAGUAGCGGUGAAAUGCAUAGAUAUGUCUUAGAACUCCCAUUGCGAAGGCAGCUCACUAAGCUGGUAUUGACGCUGAUGCACGAAAGCGUGGGGAUCGAACAGGAUUAGAUACCCCGGGAGUCCCCGCCCCCAAACGAAGAUAACUCGAUGUUGGGCGAUAGACAACCCCCCGCCCCACCAAAAACGUUUAAAUUAUCCCCCUGGGGGAGUACCCCCCCCCGGGGGGGAAAA
rnacentral:rRNA from 1 species